UACAGAGACUGCGAGCGUUAUUCGGAUUCAUUGGGCGUAAAGGGUGCGUAGGCGGCGCGGUAAGUCGGGUGUGAAAUCUUGGAGCUUAACUCCGAAACUGCAUUCGAUACUGCCGUGCUUGAGGACUGGAGAGGAGACUGGAAUUUACGGUGUAGCGGUGAAAUGCGUAGAUAUCGUAAGGAAGACCAGUGGCGAAGGCGGGUCUCUGGACAGUUCCUGACGCUGAGGCACGAAGGCCAGGGGAGCAAACGGG
rnacentral:rRNA from 1 species